GCGGAUGUGGUGUACGGUGCACUGCUGCAUUAAUUAUGUAGGACGCCACAUGAAAGUUUGAAAGCAGUGAGACGGGGUUCGACUCCCCGCGUCCGCG